rnacentral:rRNA from 1 species
CAGUAGCCGCGGGAAUACGUAGGGUGCAAGCGUUAAUCGGAAUUACUGGGCGUAAAGCGUGCGCAGGCGGUUAUAUAAGACAGAUGUGAAAUCCCCGGGCUAAACCUGGGAACUGCAUUUGUGACUGUAUAGCUAGAGUACGGCAGAGGGGGAUGGAAUUCCGCGUGUAGCAGUGAAAUGCGUAGAUAUGCGGAGGAACACCGAUGGCGAAGGCAAUCCCCUGGGCCUGUACUGACGCUCAUGCACGAAAGCGUGGGGAGCAAACAGGAUUAGAUACCCCAGUAGUCCCUGUCUCUUAUAC